ACACGCAUGACACACUGCAUAUCAAUAAGCGGAGGAAAAGAAACUAACAAGGAUUCCCUUAGUAACGGCGAGUGAAGCGGGAAGAGCUCAAAUUUGAAAUCUUCAAGGUUCUACCUUGACGAAUUGUAGUUUAUAGAAGUGUUUUCUGUUAGUAGAGUGGCAAAAGUUCUUUGGAAUAGGACAUCAUAGAGGGUGAGAAUCCCGUAUUUGGUCAUUCUUUCUAGCUUUGUGAUACACUUUCAACGAGUCGGAUUGUUUGGGAAUGCAGUCCAAAAUGGGUGGUAAAUUUCAUCUAAAGCUAAAUAUUGGCGAGAGACCGAUAGCGAACAAGUACCGUGAGGGAAAGAUGAAAAGAACUUUGAAAAGAGAGUUAAACAGUACGUGAAAUUGUCAAAAGGGAAGCGUUUGACACCAGUGUUGUUUUUCCGAAAAUCAAUUACGAAUGUUUUGUUUUUAAGAAGUUAUGACUUCAUCGGCUUGCUUCUUUCUUUACGAAACUUUCUUAAUGCACUUUUCGGUUAACAAGUCAACAUCAAUUUCUGUUGUUGUAAAAGGGUAUGAGGAAGGUGGCUUUCUUUUCGGAGAAAGUGUUUAUAGCCUUGUACCUCUGCAAUCGGAGAGAUUGAGGUCUGCAGCGUAGAUCCUUCGGGGUUAGAUACAUUUGUGCUAAGUUAUAGCUUUUCAUAGACAACUUGUUGACUAUGUUAAGUCUUGUAGCUUACUCGCUUAUGCUAUUUUACCUACGCUUAGGAUGUUGAUCUACAGAGCGAGAGU
rnacentral:rRNA from 1 species